GGAGGCUGUCAGUCUGUAUAGUUUUAUCGCUGAUGAGCAGCUGGUCUCUUUUAUCCACCCUUGUCUUUUGCGUACCCAUGUUUCCUCGGCAGGCUUGCCUGCCGACUGGACAAACUUAUAACCUUUUUAAUUUUCAAUCAGCGUCUGAAAAACUUAAUAAUUACAACUUUCAACAACGGAUCUCUUGGUUCUGGCAUCGAUGAAGAACGCAGCGAAAUGCGAUAAGUAGUGUGAAUUGCAGAAUUCAGUGAAUCAUCGAAUCUUUGAACGCACAUUGCGCCCCUUGGUAUUCCAUGGGGCAUGCCUGUUCGAGCGUCAUUUGUACCUUCAAGCUUUGCUUGGUGUUGGGUGUUUGUCCUCUCCCUGGUGUUAGGACUCGCCUUAAAACAAUUGGCAGCCAGUGUUUUGGUAUUGAAGCGCAGCACAAGUCGCGAUUCUAACCUAAUAACACUUGCGUCCACAAGCCUUUUUUCACUUUUGACCUCGGAUCAGGUAGGGAUACCCGCUGAACUUAAGCAUAUCAAUAAGCGGAGGAA
rnacentral:rRNA from 1 species